rnacentral:rRNA from 1 species
UACGGAGGGGGCUAGCGUUGUCCGGAAUUACUGGGCGUAAAGCGUGCGCAGGCGGUUCGUUGUGUCGGCGGUGAAAGCCCCGGGCUUAACCUGGGAAUGGCCGUUGAAACUGGCGAACUGGAGUGUGGCAGAGGGGGGUGGAAUUCCGCGUGUAGCAGUGAAAUGCGUAGAGAUGCGGAGGAACACCGAUGGCGAAGGCAGCCCCCUGGGCUAACACUGACGCUCAGGCACGAAAGCGUGGGGAGCAAACAGG